GGUGUACCGGAAGGUGUACCUGAG
rnacentral:rRNA from 1 species